AACGCGAAGAACCUUACCAGGUCUUGACAUCCCAUUGACCGCUAUGGAGACAUGGUUUUCCCUUCGGGGACAAUGGUGACAGGUGGUGCAUGGUUGUCGUCAGCUCGUGUCGUGAGAUGUUGGGUUAAGUCCCGCAACGAGCGCAACCCUUAUCUUUAGUUGCCAUCAUUUAGUUGGGCACUCUAGAGAGACUGCCGGUGACAAACCGGAGGAAGGUGGGGAUGACGUCAAAUCAUCAUGCCCCUUAUGACCUGGGCUACACACGUGCUACAAUGGACGGUACAAACGGUUGCCAACCCGCGAGGGGGAGCUAAUCCGAUAAAACCGUUCUCAGUUCGGAUUGUAGGCUGCAACUCGCCUACAUGAAGCCGGAAUCGCUAGUAAUCGCGGAUCAGCAUGCCGCGGUGAAUACGUUCCCGGGCCUUGUACACACCGACGCGUA
rnacentral:rRNA from 1 species